rnacentral:rRNA from 1 species
GUAGGGUGCGAGCGUUAAUCGGAAUUACUGGGCGUAAAGCGUGCGCAGGCGGUUCGCUAAGUCUGAUGUGAAAGCCCCGGGCUCAACCUGGGAACUGCAUUGGAAACUGGCGAGCUUGAGUGUGGCAGAGGGGGGUGGAAUUCCACGUGUAGCAGUGAAAUGCGCAGAGAUGUGGAGGAACACCGAUGGCGAAGGCAGCCCCCUGGGCUAACACUGACGCUCAGGCACGAAAGCGUGGGGAGCAAACAGGAUUAGAUACCCUGGUAGUCCACGCCCUAAACUAUGUCAACUGGGUGUUGGGGAAGCGAUUCCUCAGUACCGUAGCUAACGCGUGAAGUUGACCGCCUGGGGAGUACGGCCGCAAGGUUA